GGAGAGAUGACAGAGCGGCCGAUUGUGCAGCACUGGAAAUGCUGUGUACCUCUCAAGGGUACCGAGGGUUCGAAUCCCUCUCUCUCCGCCA
rnacentral:tRNA from 1 species